AACUCGGUCCAGCCCACUCUUCCAUCAUUGCUUCUGAAAACGUGACGUUCUUCACCAGACUCGGGUCAAUUGGACGGGGUGACUUCGGCGGGGUAUGGAAGGGAGAACUCCGCUCGAAUCAAAUCCAAGUAGACGUUGCUAUCAGGCAGAUUCCAGAUCAAGUGACCAAAUCAAAGAAUGUUCUUCGAGCUGUCAAGGUCCUUUCUGAGCUACCGGAUCAACCUAAUGUUGUCAAGUUCCUGGGAUAUUGUCAAGAACAAGGUAGCAUUCUGUAUGAGUUCAUCUCUGGGGGAACCCUACUCACCCAUCUACAGACCACAGGGGUGCAAUCCCAACCAA